GAAGUUUUCAAAAUCAGACAAUCCCCAAAAGCGUCCGGCUGAAGACCGGAAGGUCGAGGGUUCAAAUCCCUCCCCCGGCA
rnacentral:tRNA from 2 species